UUUCAAUUUUACUUUUGUUAACAUUUUUUUAAAAAAAAUUGAGGGGCGUAAGGAGACAGCUUCACUCUCUUCAAACACCUUCCUUGACGUGACUUUUUUUUCAUGUUUUGAUGUAAAAUAUACGAAGUAAUGUGCUUGCUGACUGAGUGUUGUCUAUCCUGUAUCUUAAUUCAGUCCCUCAUACCAGUUCUGAAUUUCAGUUGCCAACAACGUAAGGAACCGAAAACUGCGCAUGGUCCAGUUUUCAUUUUGUAGGACUUAAUAUUAACAGCCAGUUGUAAUAAAUACGGUUCAUUUUUUA